AACGAACGCUGGCGGCAGGCUUAACACAUGCAAGUCGAGCGCCUCGCAAGAGGAGCGGCAGACGGGUGAGUACCGCGUGGGAACGUACCCUUAUCUUCGGAAUAGCUCUGGGAAACUGGAAGUAAUACCGAAUGUGCCCUUAGGGGGAAAGAUUUAUCGGAUAAGGAUCGGCCCGCGUUGGAUUAGCUAGUUGGUGGGGUAAAGGCCUACCAAGGCGACGAUCCAUAGCUGGUCUGAGAGGAUGAUCAGCCACAUUGGGACUGAGACACGGCCCAAACUCCUACGGGAGGCAGCAGUGGGGAAUAUUGGACAAUGGGCGCAAGCCUGAUCCAGCCAUGCCGCGUGAGUGAUGAAGGCCUUAGGGUUGUAAAGCUCUUUCACCGGAGAAGAUAAUGACGGUAUCCGGAGAAGAAGCCCCGGCUAACUUCGU
rnacentral:rRNA from 1 species